rnacentral:rRNA from 1 species
UAGGGAAUCUUCCACAAUGGACGCAAGUCUGAUGGAGCAACGCCGCGUGAGUGAAGAAGGGUUUCGGCUCGUAAAGCUCUGUUGUUAAAGAAGAACGUGGGUAAGAGUAACUGUUUACCCAGUGACGGUAUUUAGCCAGAAAGCCACGGCUAACUACGUGCCAG